CCUACGGGAGGCUGCAGUAGGGAAUUUUCCACAAUGGACGAAAGUCUGAUGGAGCAACGCCGCGUGCAGGAUGAAUGUCUUCGGAUUGUAAACUGCUUUUCUCUGUGACGCGGUAGCAGAGGAAUAAGGACCUGCUAACUACGUGCCAGCAGCCGCGGUCAUACGUAGGGUCCAAGCGUUAUCCGGAAUUACUGGGCGUAAAGAGUGCGUAGGUGGCAUAGUAAGCGGGUAGUGAAAUGACGGGGCUCAACCUCGUGUCCAUUACCUGAACUGCUAAGCUAGAGGAUGAGAGAGGUUAUUGGAAUUCCCUGUGUAGGAGUGAAAUCCGUAGAUAUAGGGAGGAACACCGAUGGCGUAGGCAGAUAACUGGCUCAUCCUGACACUAAGGCACGAAAGCGUGGGGAGCAAACGGGAUUAGAUACCCUUGUAGUC
rnacentral:rRNA from 1 species